GAGGAGCUUGAAUAAUUCAUCUGUGGGUUUUAGAAGAAUUUUAAAAGUUUUUUUUUUUAUUUUUAAGGUCCUUGUUGAAUCAUACUUCAAGCUUUCAGCAUCUGGCAGCAUCAAAGUCUAACUCCUAGCAAAAUUUCAUCUCCAACAAGAGCUGCUUGUAAAUGAUCAGCAUUUUUCUAGUAUAUACACCAGAUAUUUCUUCAGCACGGUACUUGGAGUAGAAAAUGGGAAUUUAAAAACAAAACUUUGCAUUUUACAGAAUUGAUACAGCCCACACAGUAAACUUAGAAACAAUCAAGAAGAAUUGAAGACAGCCACUUGUGAGGAAGGUGGAGGCUGAGAAAUAUGUAAGUCCAAGCCUGUUUAUUUUGUUA
rnacentral:lncRNA from 1 species